UACGAAGGGGGCUAGCGUUGCUCGGAAUUACUGGGCGUAAAGCGCACGUAGGCGGCUUUCUAAGUCGGGGGUGAAAUCCUGGAGCUCAACUCCAGAACUGCCUUCGAUACUGGAAAGCUCGAGUCCGGGAGAGGUGAGUGGAACUGCGAGUGUAGAGGUGAAAUCGUAGAUAUUCGCAAGAACACCAGUGGCGAAGGCGGCUCACUGGCCCGGUACUGACGCUGAGGUGCGAAAGCGUGGGGAGCAAACAGG
rnacentral:rRNA from 1 species